GCCUGUGUAGCUCAGUGGUAGAGCAGUGUCUUCAUAAGGCAUUGGUCGGAAGUUCGAUCCUUCCCACAGGCA
rnacentral:tRNA from 1 species